rnacentral:rRNA from 1 species
GUAGUAUAAAUAAUUUUACUUUGAAACUGCGAAUGGCUCAUUAUAUCAGUUAUAGUUUAUUAGAAAUANUUUACUACUUGGAUAACCGUAGUAAUUCUAGGGCUAAUACAUGAAUAAANCCUCAACUUCGGAAGAGGUGUGUUUAUUAGUAUGAAAACCAUAUAUCUUCGGAUAUAAUAGUGAGUAAUAAUAACCUUUCNUAUCGUAUGUCGUAAGAUAACGAUAGUUCUUUCAAGUUUCUGCCCUAUCAGCUUUCGAUGGUAGUAUAUGGGACUACCAUGGCAGUAACGGGUAACGAAGAAUUUGGGUUCGAUUUCGGAGAGGGAGCCUGAGAGAUGGCUACCACAUCCAAGGAAGGCAGCAGGCGCGUAAAUUACCCAAUCCUGACAUAGGGAGGUAGUGACAAUAAAUCACAAUGCGGAACU